GAGGCUGUAGCUCAGUGGUAGAGCUUGUGCCUUGCAUGCACGAGGUCCUGGAUUCAGUCUCCAAUGCCUCA
rnacentral:tRNA from 1 species